AAACCCUAGCAUUCAGCAGCUUUCUGCCCUUGCGCUGUAGCCAAACCAGAUCCCCGCGUGUGCUGUGCCUCCGUGCCAAGUCCGCGCGUGUACAUCUCCAGGCUGGCCUUGUACCUGCAACAACCAAAACAAACGAAACCAAGCAGCAAAACGAAGAGAAAAACGAAAAAAGGAGUGACAAAAAGAAAAUAGGAAAAGAUGGCAGAGAAAAAUAGAUGUAUUUUGAUUUAUUUAUUUAUUUUUCUUUUCGAUUCGGCUAUAUAAGGUAAUUUCUUAACGUUUGUAAGGGUUUUUUUUUACACAUGGAGAUUGUAUCAAAAAUUCUAAAAAAAGCAAUAGAAAAAAAAGUAAUUUCUUAAAGGUGAUUUCGAGUUUCUUUUCUCUGGUUCUUUUAUAAUUUUCUGAUCCUUUUUCUUUUCUUUUUAUUUAUUGUUUGAGAAAGGGAAACGGAAGGAAAGUGAAGGAUUUUACCUUUGUUGCGAAGCUGAGUCCUCGCCCUCUUCGUCGUAAUCGGAGAUCGGGUGUGGGAUCGGAGAGCCUUCGAGCAGCUGAGUCUGAAACGGCGCAUGAAGGGGAAGGGAUUAGUUUUUUUAGGGUUGAUUUGUGAGUUUCAAAUGUCUGCUGAUUUUAGGCUUAAUUUAGCCUUUAUUUUGACUAAAGAAAUGACGUCGUUCAGAGCCUGAGCAGUGGCCAUGAUACGCCGCCGUUUAGCGACAUACCCGAUGACCCGAUCCAACCGCGGCUAGAUCCGCGCAUUUUGGUAUGGAGAGGGAUAAUUGCGGGCUAAGUCCUUCUUAUUUUGCUCUAUGUUUCAAUUCGAUCCUUUUAAUUUCUUUAAUUUUGAGCAGCAUAAUUUGUUGUUGAUUUCAUCUGGGUCCAUGUUACUGCGCAGCGUUUUGGGAAGCGGGAUAUUUCCCACUCGGCGCCCCAUAUUAUUUGCGCAUUGCACAGUGGCCCUUAUUUUGCUUAUUUAUACUAUUUCUCGAUUAAUUUCGCUUUAGUUGCAAUUUAGUCCUCUUUUUGUGUUAUUUGCUUCUUUUU
rnacentral:lncRNA from 1 species